rnacentral:rRNA from 1 species
CCCUCUUUGUGCUGCAAAGAUCGCCAGAAUCACUCCACCCGGAGAGUACGAUCGCAAGACUGACACAUAAAAAAAAAGAAGGGGCCCCGCACAACCUGGGGGCCCAUGUGUUCAAAUCAAAAGCUAGCGAGAAAACCUUUUACCGGGUCUGGACACCCUGAGACAACCGUAGAUAUAGGGUGUCCCUUUGGGGGGCAGAGUCCCAGGUGGUGCAGGGUUGUUGUCACCUCGUGUCGAGAGAUGUUGGGUUAAGUCCCGCAACGAGCGCAACCCUUGAUUUUAGUUCCCAGCAUUCAGUUGGGCACUCUAAGGUGACUGCCGGUGACAAACCGGAGGAAGGUGGGGAUGACGUCAAAUCAUCAUGCCCCUUAUGACCUGGGCUACACACGUGCUACAAUGGACAGAACAAAGGGCAGCGAAACCGCGAGGUUAAGCCAAUCCCACAAAUCUGUUCUCAGUUCGGAUCGCAGUCUGCAACUCGACUGCGUGAAGCUGGAAUCGCUAGUAAUCGCGGAUCAGCAUGCCGCGGUGAAUACGUUCCCGGGCCUUGUACACACCGCCCGUCACACCACGAGAGUUUGUAACACCCGAAGUCGGUGAGGUAAC